UCCCCAAAGGCGCAUGGCUAAGAGUGGUUAUUUGUCUCCUUGUCACGGUGUUUGAGGGAGGGAUUCCUACACUAGGAUUAUGAAGAUGGUCAAACAGGUGACACUGGAUCCCAGAAAAGUGGGGCAGAAAGCAGUUUAGUUGUCACAUAUGCUCACAGCCUAGGGAAGAAGACAGGGAACAGCCUGCAGGGCCACGCGAUGGUUCAAGAACAGAGUGAACAGCCAGGGCCUGUGAGAGGGAGGAAUCUCCCAGUGUUUGUGCCAUGUUUUGAUCUGACUUAAAGCCAUAAACAUAGCCGAAGCCUGGGCCAUCCACAGAAGACCCAAUGUUCUCUUUUUCCAAGUGGGCAUUUGGUAUCUCUGAAGAGUUCUAGACUGAGCUACAUCAGUAGACCUCUGCUUUUAAAGAGAGCAAUUCUCAUCCAAGGAUCCCGAUUCUUCUACUGUAGUGCAAUUUCACUACUCUCUCCAAAUGUCUCCAAGCAAAUUCAAAGCAGCUGAAAAUAACUGCAUGCCUGAGAGGACCACGAAGCUUCAGGCCAGCCCUGUCCCAAAGUCUUGUGUGCUUCAUGUUGAGUGGUCUGCAGUGGACUGUGUCUGCUUGAAGCGAUGCUCCGGAGGGCUUAUUGUGGUGUGGGGGAAAGCAUGAGAACACUGAAAAAUGAGAGAAAUCGAGCAUAUGAAAUGUGAAGCAUAUCUGUUGACACCAUGUGCUCCCUUUGCUUGCACUAGAUGGUGCAUGGUUUCUGUGCGCAGUUCCUGAGGUGUGGGGCAGGUGGGGCCCAUGCAGCCCAGCUCCUUUCCAGAAGGUUGUCGUUCAUUACAGCUCGAGUGUGCUGGGUUCUGCAGAUAUUAUCUAUUUUAAAUUAACGCUCCAUAAAAGGAAUUUAAAGUUUUCUGAAAAGAAACCAAUGAAUGAAGCUAAUAGUAAUAAUGCAAACACAAGCAAGCUGCCAAGUAAGCCAUUUUUCUAUUACGGAGCUCUUCAUCAGUCAUAUUAUUAAAGAAAAAACAACAAUACUAGUAAUAAUGAUCACCUAUUCAAGACCAAGAAGUUGAUCCUCCAAAAUUCAAACAAGGAAAAAUCUCUCCCAAUCUCUCCUUUCCUCCAUCCCUUUUCUUUACUUCUUGUCCCAUAUAUAAUAUUAUAUAAUGCAUACAUAACAAAA
rnacentral:lncRNA from 1 species